rnacentral:piRNA from 1 species
ACGGCACAGACACUUGGCCCUUUCUUGGCUC